CCUACGGGAGGCUGCAGUGGGGAAUAUUGCACAAUGGGGGAAACCCUGAUGCAGCGACGCCGCGUGAGUGAAGAAGUAAUUCGUUACUUAAAGCUCUAUCAGCAGGGAAGUAAAUGACUGUACCUGAGUAAGAAGCCCCGUCUAACUACGUGCCAGCAGCCGCGGUACUACGUAGGGGGCAAGCGUUAUCCGGAUUUACUGGGUGUAAAGGGAGCGUAGACGGUUCGCCAGGUCUGUAGUGAAAUGCCGCAGCUUAACUGCGGAACUGCUUUGGAAACUGGCGAACUAGAGUGCGGGAGGGGUAAGCGGAAUGCGUGGUGUAGCGGUGAAAUGCGUAGAUAUGAGGAGGAACACCGGUGGCGAAGGCGGCUUACUGGACCGUAACUGACGUUGAGGCUCGAAAGCGUGGGGAGCAAACAGGAUUAGAUACCCUAGUAGUC
rnacentral:rRNA from 1 species